GGAAGUAAAAGUUUAACAAGGUUUCCGUAGGUGAACCUGCGGAAGGAUCAUUAUUGUAUAACCGAGGUGCGAGGGCUGUCGCUGACCCGAAAGGUCGUGCACGCCCGAGUGCCCUCACACACAUCCAUCUCACCCCUAUGUGCACCACCGCGUGGGUCCCCCUUUGGCUUGUUCGGAGGGGGGCUUACGUUUUCACACAAACUUUGUAUGCAGUGUAGAAUGUAUUUUUUGUUUUUGCGAUCACGCAAUCAAUACAACUUUCAACAACGGAUCUCUUGGCUCUC
rnacentral:misc_RNA from 1 species